rnacentral:rRNA from 1 species
CACGUAGGGGACGAGCGUUGUCCGGAUUCAUUGGGCGUAAAGCGCGCGUAGGCGGCUCGGAAAGUCGGGGGUGAAAUCCUGUGGCUCAACCACAGGGCUGCCUCCGAGACUGUCGGGCUCGAGCACAGUAGAGGCAGGUGGAAUUCCCGGUGUAGCGGUGGAAUGCGUAGAGAUCGGGAAGAACAUCGGUGGCGAAGGCGGCCUGCUGGGCUGUUGCUGACGCUGAGGCGCGACAGCGUGGGGAGCAAACAGG